rnacentral:rRNA from 1 species
AUGGAGGUCGACGUGCCGCUCAAGAUCGACGGGGACGUAGCGGCCGGGGCGCGCGCCGUUUGGGGGCCGCCGGUUGACCGGGUGCUGUAUGCACCCGAAGGGCGGUUCCUUGGGCCGGGACGGCGAACCGCCUACGCGGGGAACACGGUCGGCCUCCUGAGCGUCGCCGCCGUGGUGCCGCCGCCUGAUGAUCCACCGGCCGCUGAUGGCCAAGGACAAGGAGGAGGUAAGCAGAUCUUGGUGCUCUACCGCUACACCCAUUUCUCGGCGGUCCACGACGGCGUGGAGGUCUGCGGCAGCACGAAGCUGCACUAUCUCCGCUUCGCCGUCCCGGCCGCCGCGUCGCCAGCGUGCUCGCUGCGGUGGGCCUGGUCGUCCCUGGCGCCGCUGAUAUACCCCUCCUGCCAGAGCAACGAGCUCCAGGCCCUUUGGCCCAGGUUGCUCUCCAGCGACGGUAGCAAUGGCGUCCCGCUGAAGGCCACGCGUGUCAAGGUGAUCGCUGACGUCGGCAUCCUCCGGCGUGAGGACUACACGCAGGAACGGAUGCGCGACGUGUCCACCGCGCUGCAGGACAUGGUAGAGGAGCCAUGGCCCGGGUACCAUAUCGGCAUGGAGUUGCGCCUGCCGGAGCACGUGCAUUGCGCUUGCGCGGACGAAGCUGAGGCCGCCGACGGCGAGGACACGGACUGCGAGCGGCCGGCAAAGCGAGGGAAGUUCGUCGAAGAAAGCUGCCCCAUCUGCUUCGAGCUGCUCAAGAGCGACGUCGCCGUGUGGCCCGGGUGCCUCCUGCCCCACGUCUUCCAUGGCGAGUGCCUCGUGCUCGCCCUCCAGGCGAGCGAGAUGUGCCCUCUCUGCAGGCGCAGGCUGUCGGCUCCGGAUGAACAGGUUUAG